rnacentral:lncRNA from 1 species
UUUAAAUCUCAUUAUAAUAUUUUAAUUUAUGUAAUUUUUAUGUGUAGUCUUUUUAUAUAGCUUAAAUUAUAUAUAUUAAAUAUAUUUAAUUUUAUAAUAUUAAUACUUGAAAAUAAAGGAUUUUUUUUUGCAAAUGGCUCCCUGAAAAAAUUUUAUUUUAAAACUAGCCUCAACAAUUUAUAAUUACAAAAAUGACCCUACUCCUGCCACGCAGGUGCUACGCAAGUACCACGUGGGCGGGUUGGAUGGGCAAGUUGAACACGUGAUUCACCCUGUUCACGUGUUUUAUAUUUAUAUUCUUUUUCUUCUUUUUAGGGAUGUCAACGGGUUGGGUUGGGUUCGGAUUCGGGUUCGAGUUACGGGUUUUUGGUCGGGUAUGGAUAUGGGUAUGGAUUUUUAAAACUCGGCGGGUUCGGAUUCGAGUUCAAGUUUUAAUUUGAUUUUCAGAUUCAGAUUCGGUUUUUUGAAAACCCGAUCCAAAUCCGACCCGUUAAUAUCUCUAAAAAGGAAUAAAAGGAAUAUUAAUAUGAAACACGUUGAAUCAUUCACCGUGUUUGAACCGUGUUCAACUUGGUAAGCAACCUCCCAGCCCGCCCACGUGGCGCUUGCGUGGCGCCUGCGUGGCGGAAGUAGGGCUAUUUUUGCAAUUAUAAAUUAGUACCUUCUUGUGGUUUCACUUUUUUUUCACUUUAGUAUUCUAUGGUUUAAAGUGUAUUAAGUUAGUGCCAUGUGGUUUUGCACUUUUUCACUUUAGUACCCUGUGAUUUAAAGUGUAUCAAGUUAGUACCCUGUGGUUUCGCACUUUAUCACUUUAGUACUCUGUGGUUUCGCACUUUAUCACUUUAGUAUCCUAUGGUUUAAAAACCACAGAGUACUAACUUGAUACAAAAAUAAAACCACAGGGUACUAACUUGAUACAAAAAUAAAACCACAGAGUACUAACUUGAUACACUUUAAACCACAGGGUGCUAAAGUGAUAAAGUGAGAAACCACAGGAUACUAACUUAAUACACUUUAAACCACAGGGUACUAAAAUGAAAAAGUGUGAAACCACAGGGGGUUUUUUUUGAAGUUUUCCCUUAAAUUAAAAAAAGUUGGUGGUCUAAAAUUUAGGAUUAAUUUUAUUUUGCUCCAUAUAAACAUAUUGAAUAACAAAUAUAGUUUUAGAAAGUUUAUCUUUUUAUAUUUAUUUCUGUAAAAGUUUAGUAAUAUUCAUAUUUAUUUUUUUGAUUUAUUACCGUUAUAAUACGGUAUAUUUUUUACUAAAAAAUAAGCAAAAUAAUAUUUUUGCCAUCACAAAUAUGUUCCUCCGAAAGCCCCAAAUUUUAGAAUUAUAUAAAAAUAUUCGUCCAAAAAUUUUCAAUUAUCAUUUUCUUCCCUUCAACCAUCACAAAUAAUAUAAGAGGGGUAAACAGAUCAAUUUAGUUUAUUCAUUAAUCAUGGUUAAAUGUUUUAUCUAUGGUUAACUAUAAUUUUCUAAUGGAUCCUAAUAGUAGGGGUAUAUUUCUAAAUGUUAGAAUUUUUGCAGGAAUAAAUAUGAAAAAUUAAACUUUGUAGGAAUAUAUCUGUUAUUCGAUAUAUUUACAGAAAGCUAUAUGAAAUUAACCCUAAAAAAUAAUAGUAAAUAAUUUAUACUUAAUUUUAAAUUUUAAAAUAAUUUUUUUUAAAAUAUAAUUUUUAUAAAUAGUUUAUUUUAAUAUUACAUAUUAUAGCGGUUUAAAUUGUAAUUUUAAAUUUAUAAAUUAGACGUUAAUGAUUGUGCUCUAUAUAUAUGGUUCAACGAACUUUAUUCUUCCCUAAUGUAAGGAAGGUGGU